UUUUCAGGUUUUAGACUUUUAAAGAACAACUAUAGUGAAUUCUGUUGCAAAGAAAGUGAUGGCUUGGCUGAGCCAGCACGGUCACCAUGCAGUGAGGGAUGAUCCCAGCCCGUCACUGCUCCUCUUGUCCAGCCACCAGCAGCUCAAUCCCUUUUCCCUGGAGCCUGUGCAGUGCCAGGGCUUGGCCAUCGUUGCUGAGCAGAUGUGUGUGGCUGCCUGACCAGUGAGUUUGUCUCCCAGUCUUCAUUUGGGAGUGAUUCCUUCAGUGCUGCCACACCAGUGGAGACUGCAGCAGGGUCUCCUUCACACCACUGCCUACACUGGAGCAGCUCCUCUGGCACUGCUUCCUGUCCCUGGGAGUUGUCCUGGCUGGAUGGCUGCGAGGAGCUGGGAAGAAAUGCACAGCACUCCUGUGCUCAUUCACUUGGCUGCCAAACAUGCACAUUUCACUGCUUUCUUGAGAGCACUUUCCUGCUGUGGAAAUGUGAUAUGCCUGACUAGGUAGGCCAACAGCUGUGUGAUUGUCCAUCUGCUGCUUCUCCAGAUUAAAUAUUAGCCCAAGUGUCUCCUCCAAAGCCAUGAAUUUCCUCCAAGUGCAGUUCUCAAAGAAGAGCUUUUCUUGCUUCUCUUCUCCUGCACCAGAUAUUCCGUGAGAUAAGCGAUACUGAUGGGCAGCAGGGGAAUUCAAAGCACACAACUGCCAAAAAGCAGGGUCUAUUAUUUGUGUUGAUUUUUAAAUGUAAUUGCUCUUCGGUGGUGAAUGAAACAAAGCACGCAGGCACAGCGAGAUCACUACACCGUGCUAGUGAGGGAAUCCUGUCACAUCUGCAGGGUGAAGGCAGCUUGGCUCUUGGCUGGCCAGAUCUCCCCAGGAGACAAAUGCUUCACAGAGAACUUCUUCCAUGAGAAACAUUUCAGCUCCUCAGGCCUUUGUUGCUGCUUCUGCUCUACCCUGACCAUGUACAGUUGUUUAUCAAUGUUGCUAGAAUUUUUUAGUUUCUAUAGAUGAGGAUAUUUGAGUUGUUUGUUGUUUUUUUGCAGCUGACAUAGAGAGAAAUAUUUAAGAUAGAUAUCAGAAGUAGACAGAGUAAUUCUUAAUUUGUUUCUUUAGAGCUUCAUUUUCCUCAUGCAAGCUAUUAGUAACUCCCACUGAAGCCAAUAAAUUCCUCGUCCUUCACGGCAGGAAAGGCACUAAAGUCAAUGGGAAUUAUUUGUAUCCUGCAGUGGGGGGGAAUAAGCCUCCUGGGAAACUGUGGAUCUCCUAUUUGCCAUAAGCCAUCCAUUAUUCCCUGCCAGUAGCAAGUCAUUCCAGGAUUUGUAGGAAUUUCUAUUGUUUUUUGAGUGUAUCUAUGCUUUAAUUCUCACUUCUCAUAUGAAAGUAACUGAUGCAAGUUAUGAAAUUGCAUUAAUAUAUGGAUUUCUGCUGA